rnacentral:rRNA from 1 species
CUGUUUAAAGUACAUCCUGCCCAGUGACUCAAAUUUCAACGGCCGCGGUAUCCUAACCGUGCAAAGGUAGCAUAAUCACUUGCCUUUUAAUGGAAGGCUGGAAUGAACGGACAAACGCAACUCAAACUCUAUCACUGUUAAUCCUAAAACUUAGACUCUAGGUGAAGAUACCUAGAUCACAAUGAAAGACAAGAAGACCCUAUAGAGUUUUAGUUUAACUCACUCUCCCUAUCCCCUUAAACUUUGGUUGGGGCGACCUAGGAUUUCUAUUCACAUCCUUCUUACCAUAAGAUCUAUUUAUCUAAAAAAUGAUCCUACUCCAAGACAUUAAAAUAAACUACCUUAGGGAUAACAGGCUUAUCUUCCUAAAAAGUCCAAAUUGACAGGAAGGUCUGGCACCUCGAUGUUGGCUUAGAGUAACCUUAUAAUGCAAAAGUUAUAGUAGGUCGGUUUGUUCAACCGUUAAACCUCU